CGAACGGGAUUAGAUACCCCGGUAGUCCACGCCGUAAACGAUGGAUACUAGCUGUCGGGACCUCGGUCUCGGCGGCCAAGCGAAAGUGAUAAGUAUCCCACCUGGGGAGUACGUUCGCAAGAAUGAAACUCAAAGGAAUUGACGGGGGCCCGCACAAGCGGUGGAGCAUGUGGUUUAAUUCGAUGAUACGCGAGGAACCUUACCAGGGCUUAAAUGCGGGCUGCAUGGGACAGAGACGUCCCUUUCUUCGGACCGCCCGCAAGGUGCUGCAUGGUUGUCGUCAGCUCGUGCCGUGAGGUGUCAGGUUAAGUCCUAUAACGAGCGCAACCCCUACCGUUAGUUGCCAGCAUGUAAAGAUGGGGACUCUAACGGGACUGCCGGUGCAAACCGUGAGGAAGGUGGGGACGACGUCAAAUCAUCACGGCCCUUACGUCCUGGGCCACACACGUGCUACAAUGGCCGGUACAGAGGGAAGCCACCCCGCAAGGGGGCGCGGAUCUACAAAGCCGGUCACAGUUCGGAUCGGGGUCUGCAACUCGACCCCGUGAAGCUGGAAUCGCUAGUAAUCGGAUAUCAGCCAUGAUCCGGUGAAUACGUUCCCGGGCCUUGUACACACCGCCCGUCAAGCCAUGGAAGCCGGGAGUGCCUGAAGUCCGUGACCGCAAGGAGCGGCCUAGGGCAAAAUCGGUAAUAG
rnacentral:rRNA from 1 species